AAUCAACGCUGGCGGCGUGCCUAACACAUGCAAGUCGAACGCGAAAGCCCCUUCGGGGGCAAGUAGAGUGGCGUCCGGGUGAGUAACACGUGGGUAAUCUACCUCCGGGUGGGGAAUAACUCGCCGAAAGGUGGGCUAAUACCGCAUAAUGCAGCGGCACCGAAUGGUGAUUAGUUGUUAAAGCGGGGGACCUUAGGGCCUCGCGUCUGGAGGGGAGCCUGCGGCAGAUUAGCUUGUUGGUAGGGAAUGGCCUACCAAGGCUGCGAUCUGUAGCUGGUCUGAGAGGACGGCCAGCCACACUGGCACUGACACACGGGCCAGACUCCUACGGGAGGCAGCAGUGGGAAUUUUGGGCAAUGGGCGAAAGCCUGACCCAGCAACGCCGCGUGAAGGAGGAAAUCCUUCGGGAUGUAAACUUCACAAGCAAGGGAAGAGCGCGCAGGGUCGAAUAAACUCUGCGUCCGACGGUACCUUGCGUAAGCCACGGCUAACUACGUGCCAGCAGCCGCC
rnacentral:rRNA from 1 species